AGUGAACGCUGGCGGUAGGCCUAACACAUGCAAGUCGAACGACAGCACAGAGGAGCUUGCUCCUUGGGUGGCGAGUGGCGGACGGGUGAGGAAUACAUCGGAAUCUACUCUGUCGUGGGGGAUAACGUAGGGAAACUUACGCUAAUACCGCAUACGACCUACGGGUGAAAGCAGGGGAUCUUCGGACCUUGCGCGAUUGAAUGAGCCGAUGUCGGAUUAGCUAGUUGGCGGGGUAAAGGCCCACCAAGGCGACGAUCCGUAGCUGGUCUGGGAGGAUGAUCAGCCAGACUGGAACUGAGACACGGUCCAGACUCCUACGGGAGGCAGCAGUGGGGAAUAUUGGACAAUGGGCGCAAGCCUGAUCCAGCCAUACCGCGUGGGUGAAGAAGGCCUUCGGGUUGUAAAGCCCUUUUGUUGGGAAAGAAAUCCAUCUGGUUAAUACCCGGGUGGGAUGACGGUACCCAAAGAAUAAGCACCGGCUAACUUCGUGCCAGCCGCCGCCGUAA
rnacentral:rRNA from 1 species